GACGAACGCUGGCGGCGUGCCUAAUACAUGCAAGUCGAACGAACUCUGGUAUUGAUUGGUGCUUGCAUCAUGAUUUACAUUUGAGUGAGUGGCGAACUGGUGAGUAACACGUGGGAAACCUGCCCAGAAGCGGGGGAUAACACCUGGAAACAGAUGCUAAUACCGCAUAACAACUUGGACCGCAUGGUCCGAGUUUGAAAGAUGGCUUCGGCUAUCACUUUUGGAUGGUCCCGCGGCGUAUUAGCUAGAUGGUGAGGUAACGGCUCACCAUGGCAAUGAUACGUAGCCGACCUGAGAGGGUAAUCGGCCACAUUGGGACUGAGACACGGCCCAAACUCCUACGGGAGGCAGCAGUAGGGAAUCUUCCACAAUGGACGAAAGUCUGAUGGAGCAACGCCGCGUGAGUGAAGAAGGGUUUCGGCUCGUAAAACUCUGUUGUUAAAGAAGAACAUAUCUGAGAGUAACUGUUCAGGUAUUGACGGUAUUUAACCAGAAAGCCACGGCUAACUACGUGCCAGCAGCCGCGGUAAUACGUAGGUGGCAAGCGUUGUCCGGAUUUAUUGGGCGUAAAGCGAGCGCAGGCGGUUUUUUAAGUCUGAUGUGAAAGCCUUCGGCUCAACCGAAGAAGUGCAUCGGAAACUGGGAAACUUGAGUGCAGAAGAGGACAGUGGAACUCCAUGUGUAGCGGUGAAAUGCGUAGAUAUAUGGAAGAACACCAGUGGCGAAGGCGGCUGUCUGGUCUGUAACUGACGCUGAGGCUCGAAAGUAUGGGUAGCAAACAGGAUUAGAUACCCUGGUAGUCCAUACCGUAAACGAUGAAUGCUAAGUGUUGGAGGGUUUCCGCCCUUCAGUGCUGCAGCUAACGCAUUAAGCAUUCCGCCUGGGGAGUACGGCCGCAAGGCUGAAACUCAAAGGAAUUGACGGGGGCCCGCACAAGCGGUGGAGCAUGUGGUUUAAUUCGAAGCUACGCGAAGAACCUUACCAGGUCUUGACAUACUAUGCAAGUCUAAGAGAUUAGACGUUCCCUUCGGGGACAUGGAUACAGGUGGUGCAUGGUUGUCGUCAGCUCGUGUCGUGAGAUGUUGGGUUAAGUCCCGCAACGAGCGCAACCCUUAUUAUCAGUUGCCAGCAUUAAGUUGGGCACUCUGGUGAGACUGCCGGUGACAAACCGGAGGAAGGUGGGGAUGACGUCAAAUCAUCAUGCCCCUUAUGACCUGGGCUACACACGUGCUACAAUGGAUGGUACAACGAGUUGCGAACUCGCGAGAGUAAGCUAAUCUCUUAAAGCCAUUCUCAGUUCGGAUUGUAGGCUGCAACUCGCCUACAUGAAGUCGGAAUCGCUAGUAAUCGCGGAUCAGCAUGCCGCGGUGAAUACGUUCCCGGGCCUUGUACACACCGCCCGUCACACCAUGAGAGUUUGUAACACCCAAAGUCGGUGGGGUAACCUUUUAGGAACCAGCCGCCUAAGGUGGGACAGAUGAUUAGGGUG
rnacentral:rRNA from 1 species